GCUUUUAGUUUAUCACAUUUUGAAAUUCAAACCAUUCCGAACCUUCAACUUAUUGCAAAAGAGAAGAAUAAAACUCUCCAGAAUAUAACACAUCCAAAUUGAAAGAUAGAUUGUACAAUUCCAUUUGUAGUGUUAUUGCAAACCAACAUUACCUUCUAUAUUUUCAUGGUUUUGUUUUAUUAUGCGUUUCAUAGUAGAUUUAGAAUAUAAUACAAACAUUCAAUAAAGAUAUAACAAUGUGAUUGAUAACAACCAUUUGAUACAUACAAAGUUUUGGAACUAUACAUGUUUUUAAUUAGAGCUUAUUACAAAAUUGGCAAAAUAAGUUUUUAAAAUUGGGUCCAUGGCACAAAAUAAUUACAAACCAAAAGUGAUGUAGAAUGGAAGAAUGUAUGGCAGUUUAAAUAUCCUAUUUAUAAUUAGUCUGUGUACCACAAUUUUGGUGUUAAUUAUUAGUUAGAUACAAAACUGAGAUAUUAUUACUGUUUGCAUCUUAUCUUACACAGUAAAGUGAGAAAGGAAACUUGAAUAUGGUAGAGGAAAGGUGUAUAAGACUUAAGAGUAUGGGGCCAAUAUGACUAUGUUCUGGACUUUAUCCACAUGCUAUGCCUAGGAUAAGUGGGAAAAGAAGAAAUGAGCAAAUCAAACAAGACAUCUCGUGCAAAGGUUAUGCAAUGGGAUUUAGCUUGGCGAUUAACAACCCCAGGCAAGGAAUCACGACAUUGCGCGAGGAAAGCUCAUUAGAAGACAAUGAUGGUAGUUGGAGUGAUGUGACUUCACAUGACAAAAUGUCAACGUUGACACACUCAGAGGAAUAGAAGUUUCUCGCAGAAAAGCAGCCUAUACAAGCACUUCGUUUUCACCAAGAGAAAAAAGUCUGAAUAGACCAUUAGAGGCCUGCAUGGGUUUGUUUAGAGAGCUUGUAGUUGGGAUAGAGAAGAAGAAGGCUACUCCUCCUGGUCUCCUAACUUGUAACAUUGUUUCAUGUCCUUAUCCCCCAUUUAAGCUUACAUUCUUUAUAUUGUGUGUUGCACAUAUUGUAUAUUUGCCUAUGACCUAUAUUCUUUGUAAUUCUUUAAACACACAUAAUGUCUUAGUCUAGCAUCUCUAUACUUUUCAUCUAUUA